rnacentral:pre_miRNA from 1 species
CUUGUACUCCCUCCGCCCGAAAAUACUUGUCAUCAAAACGAAUAAAAGGGGAUGUAUCUAGAUGUAUUUUAGUUUUAGAUACAUCCUUUUUUGUCCAUUUUGAUGACAAGUAUUUUCGGACGGAGGGAGUAACUA